AACGAACGCUGGCGGCAUGCCUAACACAUGCAAGUCGAACGAGACCUUCGGGUCUAGUGGCGCACGGGUGCGUAACGCGUGGGAACCUGCCCUUAGGUUCGGAAUAACUCCCCGAAAGGGGUUCUAAUACCGGAUAAUGUCUUCGGACCAAAGAUUUAUCGCCUUUGGAUGGGCCCGCGUUUGAUUAGCUAGUUGGUAGGGUAAAAGCCUACCAAGGCGACGAUCCAUAGCUGGUCUGAGAGGAUGAUCAGCCACACUGGGACUGAGACACGGCCCAGACUCCUACGGGAGGCAGCAGUGGGGAAUAUUGGACAAUGGGCGAAAGCCUGAUCCAGCAAUGCCGCGUGAGUGAUGAAGGCCUUAGGGUUGUAAAGCUCUUUUACCCGGGAUGAUAAUGACAGUACCGGGAGAAUAAGCUCCGGCUAACUCCGUG
rnacentral:rRNA from 1 species